UUUGUAUCAAAGACAAAAUGGUCAAACUGCAGCAUAUGAACAAAAACUUUACACGUGGAUUGUGUAUAGCUUCAAAAUUGACAAAAUUAGGUUAUAUGACACUAAGAAGCAUUGUGUUUUGAAAUGACUGAAUUACCAAAACAUUUUAUCCUUUUUAAAUGCAUUUUUCUCAUUAGUUUCAUCAACAUAGAACCUGAAUUAUUGAAAUGCAAUGUGAUCAAAAUGUGUGUCAUUUUUUUUAUAUUGUAAAGAGACUUUGUGGAUACUCCAUACUAUUGGUAAAUAAUAUCCCCCAAAAAUAGCAAUUAAUUUGAUAAUUGGUUAUUUGUUGUUCGAUGGACUGCACUUCUGAUACUUUUCCUGUUCCAACCCUGAUGAAUAAUUCGAAAAGGUUUUGAUUAUCCUCCAUUUGCAUCACUAUUUGAACAACUUUUGUACUCAUGCAGAACAUUCCACACUGCUGUCAAUCACCCUCAUCCAUCCUUGUGUGGGGCUCUCCAGGAGGAGGAGGAAAUCAUUUAUUCAUGACACCCAGCAACCAAAAGCAGCCUUGCUGACUGUUUAUGACUCACAGGAAUGAGGAGGCAGUGGAGAAAAUCAAUCUCUGCAUCCAUGAAAGAAUAAAUGUGAUUUGUGCAGGGUUUUGAUGAGUGAUUGUGACAGACUCAAGUCAGCUCUUCUGCUGCUGCAUCACAGGUAUUAACAUUUUGUCAUACUUGCUCAGGGCAAAGAAAUUCUUUUUCUUCUUCUUUCUUAAAAAAAAAAAGGGGGGGGGGGGACACAGUCUUUUGACAAUUAAUGUGGGCAAACACAGAGAGCUCACCACUGAAGAGUGUGUCAGCUUUAAUAAGAAAUGAAACAAACACGCAUGGGUUGGAUGAGUUCAGACAAAACAGCAGCUGUGUUCAUAGCAACCAUGCACUCAAGGUUUUCAGAUUUGGCAACUUUUGGGCAAAAAUGGAAGAAAAAGAAAACCACCGCAGGAGCAUGUUUAUGAUUGUGUAGUGCUGACAAGUUCAUCUUUACAUUCUUGCAGUCUUGGUAGCUUGUGAACCGGCGUGAAUGAAGAACAGAAAAAUGCCGACCCAUCUAUUUUCUGUAACACAUGCUCAGAAGGGUCGCGGGUGAGCUGGAGGCUAUAAAGCACAUUGAUUUAAACAGCAUUUAAGGAAUAUUUCAUCUUAAAUUGUGCACAAAAUAUGUGCAGUCUUGAAGUGGUUGUUCGACAGAUGGCGCUAUUCCUCUACUCAUUGGAAAACUGAAAUGACCCCGAGGACAACAAAACCCGCAAAAUCGCAAAACUUGACACAUCCUUGAAGAAUCUUUAAUUGCUACACAUAAGUGUACAAUAAUUCUGUGGACAUGAUAAAAAUUUGCGAUGCUGAACGUGCACUUAAGUGCAAUGGAUAAACACAGAGUAAAAUUGACCAUGCACAAAAAAAAAAAAA